GCCGCUUUAGCUCAGUCGGUAGAGCACUGCUUUCGUAAAGCAGGGGUCAGGUGUUCGAGUCACCUAAGCGGCACCA
rnacentral:tRNA from 1 species